GUGGGGAAUCUUGCGCAAUGGGCGAAAGCCUGACGCAGCCAUGCCGCGUGAAUGAUGAAGGUCUUAGGAUUGUAAAAUUCUUUCACCGGGGACGAUAAUGACGGUACCCGGAGAAGAAGCUCCGGCUAACUUCGUGCCAGCAGCCGCGGUAAUACGAAGGGGGCUAGCGUUGCUCGGAAUUACUGGGCGUAAAGGGCGCGUAGGCGGACAGCUUAGUCAGAGGUGAAAGCCCAGGGCUCAACCUUGGAAUUGCCUUUGAUACUGGCUGUCUUGAGUUUGGGAGAGGUGAGUGGAACUCCGGGUGUAGAGGUGAAAUUCGUAGAUAUUCGGAAGAACACCAGUGGCGAAGGCGACUCACUGGCCCAAUACUGACGCUGAGGCGCGAAAGCGUGGGGAGCAAACAGGAUUAGAAACCCGAGUAGUCC
rnacentral:rRNA from 1 species